UACGGAGGAUCCAAGCGUUAUCCGGAAUCAUUGGGUUUAAAGGGUUCGUAGGCGGUUUUGUAAGUCAGUGGUGAAAGCCCAUCGCUCAACGGUGGAACGGCCAUUGAUACUGCAAGACUUGAAUUAUUAGGAAGUAACUAGAAUAUGUAGUGUAGCGGUGAAAUGCUUAGAUAUUACAUGGAAUACCAAUUGCGAAGGCAGGUUACUACUAAUAUAUUGACGCUGAUGGACGAAAGCGUGGGGAGCGAACAGG
rnacentral:rRNA from 1 species